rnacentral:rRNA from 1 species
CCUACGGGAGGCAGCAGUGAGGAAUAUUGGUCAAUGGGCGCUAGCCUGAACCAGCCAAGUAGCGUGAAGGAUGACUGCUCUAUGGGUUGUAAACUUCUUUUAUAUGGGAAUAAAAUGCAGUAUGUAUAGUUCUUUGCAUGUACCUUAUGAAUAAGGAUCGGCUAACUCCGUGCCAGCAGCCGCGGUAAUAAGGAGGAUCCGAGCGUUAUCCGGAUUUAUUGGGUUUAAAGGGUGCGUAGGCGGGUUGUUAAGUCAGUUGUGAAAGUUUGCGGCUCAACCGUAAAAUUGCAGUUGAUACUGGCCUCCUUGAGUAUAGUAGAGGUAGGCGGAAUGCGUGGUGUAGCGGUGAAAUGCUUAGAUAUCACGAAGAACUCCGAUUGCGAAGGCAGCCUGCUGGACUGUAACUGACGCUGAUGCUCGAAAGUGUGGGUAUCAAACAGGAUUAGAUACCCCAGUAGUC